UGGCAAAUGAAUCAAGCCCUAUAUUCAAAACUGACUUGCCAUUUCCCCUAAAAUUCUCCUUGACCACAUGUCCUUUAAUUAACAGACAAAGGUAACUAGAAUUGUACUAACUGCACACACUGUUGCAAGUCAGACUCACAUACUUGGGAGGUUAAAACUACUUCAUAUUUCUACUGAAAACACCAUGUCAUAACUUAGGAUGCUGUUUACCCUUUCCACAACCACAUCAUGUAAGAGAUUUUCAGAAAGAUCCUACUGCAGUAGGCAGUAGUUUUAUAACAUCCAAUUAAUAAAUCUACCCAGCACCAAAGUUUUGAAUUUUCCAUGCUCAUUAAUCCCUUUGUUAACUUCUUGUGGAGUCACUAGUUACUUUUUCUAAUACCUUUAUUGAAAUGUUUAUUCAUCAAUCUAACAGUGAUGCCCUCCCCAAAGUACUUGCUAUUGGCUUUUACAUCCCUGGAAUUUUCAACCAAUUGAAUAGCCUCCAAAAAGUCUUUCUUUUACUUAAUUAUUGAUCUGUUUCAGUGAAUCUUCACACCAAAAUCAAACUGAAUCACCUGGGAAUGACUUAAACCCGCUAUCCUCUAUGAUCGGCUCUUCCAUGAUGUCCUCCCUGCUUAACAUAAUCACCUAUAACUUCCCACUCACAGGCUAUCUAUUGAUGGGAUAUUUAAAGCUUAGCCUUGAAAUUGGCAGUUAUGUUUUGUGGAGAUGCAGAAACCUGGGGGACAGAAAUGUCUUUUGAUUAACCGCAUCUGUGAAACACACUUGUUUCUCCUCAAAGUUCUUUCACUGCUGCUCAGCAAGCAUCCAGAGGUCAGGCUGGAAAUGCUGGUGCUUCAAGGCCAGAAUACUCUUGAUUUCAUCCAUAGCAGAGCAGGAACUGGAAAGGAAAGUAGGAUGACAGAUUGUGGGAAGGAAAGUGUGAGCUGUAUGGAAAGAGAACAAGAGCAAGAAAAGGAGGGUGACUGAUCCAACAAACCUGCUAAUAGCAAAGGGAGAGCAGAAAAAUGAAAAAGGUCCUUUCCUACCCCACCUCACCAUGUCAUAGUAAUAAAGUUCUCUGCAGAACUUAAUUCUAAGACA
rnacentral:lncRNA from 1 species